rnacentral:rRNA from 1 species
UACGUAGGGUGCAAGCGUUGUCCGGAAUUAUUGGGCGUAAAGAGCUCGUAGGCGGUCUGUUACGUCGGCUGUGAAAACCUGGGGCUCAACCCCGGGCCUGCAGCCGAUACGGGCAGACUAGAAUUCGGUAGGGGUGACUGGAAUUCCUGGUGUAGCGGUGGAAUGCGCAGAUAUCAGGAGGAACACCGGUGGCGAAGGCGGCCUGCUGGGCAGUUGCUGACACUGAGGCGCGACAGCGUGGGGAGCAAACAGG